GUGCCCUCGCUUGGGCAGCACACACCCUAAAAUUGGAAUGACACAGAGGAGACUAGCAUGGCCUUGCACAAGAUGACCUGCACGUUGAUGAAACUUUUCCAUCUUUA
rnacentral:snRNA from 1 species